rnacentral:snRNA from 1 species
AUCGCUUCUUGGCCUUUUGGCUAAGAUCAAGUGCAGAAGUCUGGCUCUCUUGUAUGAGGUAUUGUUGUUUCUAUAUUUAUCAUGCUUUGGUUCACCUAAGUUUUGGAUGCAUUAGUUAAUUUUUUCACCACAGUUGGGAAGUUUUUAAACUUCUCUCC